GGGCCCUUAGCUCAAGUGGUAGAGCACUGUGCUGAUAACGCAGGGGUCAGUGGUUCGAGUCCACUAGGGCCCA
rnacentral:tRNA from 1 species